rnacentral:rRNA from 1 species
UACGUAGGGUGCAAGCGUUAAUCGGAAUUACUGGGCGUAAAGCGUGCGCAGGCGGUGAUGUAAGACAGAUGUGAAAUCCCCGGGCUCAACCUGGGAACUGCAUUUGUGACUGCAUCGCUAGAGUACGGUAGAGGGGGAUGGAAUUCCGCGUGUAGCAGUGAAAUGCGUAGAUAUCGGAAGGAACACCAGUGGCGAAAGCGGCUUCCUGGUCCAGCACCGACGUUCAGGCACGAAAGCGUGGGGAGCAAACAGG